rnacentral:misc_RNA from 1 species
CAAGCCCCAAGGGUUACCAAGCCUGGCUCGCAGACAACCUUGAGCAACGGGCCGUGGUCCCCUGGAUGCGCAACCAGGCGGUCACCUCCGGGAAGACCCGUCUCGAAGGGGCGACCAAGGCAGACGCAAUGCUCGUUUCACCGGACACCGGCUUCGCUGUCGUGUUCGAAGCGAAGGUGUUAUCCGACGUCUCGGCACAGGUCGGCUACGACGCCCUGCGCAACCAGAUCACCCGAAACAUCGACGUACUGCUCGACCGAAACCCCAAGCUUGACCCGAGCCUUGCAAACCGUGAUCCGGAGCGCAGCUGCUUCGUGAUGCUGACGCCGCAACUGUUCCGCGACAACCCCGAGGGCCGCUUGUACGGCUGGCUCAUGAAGGAGUAUCGCGAGCACCCUGAACUUCUCGGUCGUCAUCUUCCCCAUCGACAGGACCAGGACAUGGAUGCCAUCUGUCGAAGGCUGGGCUGGCUCACCUGGGAAGAGAUCCAG